CACUUUAUCUUAAUUGCUCUGUUCCCAAGGUCUCAGUGAUCUCUACACUGACAGUUCAGAGGUCAAUCCUCAACUGACUCAGCCUCUCAGUGCAAAUGACACCUUUAGGCACUUGUCUCCUGAAACAUUUUCUUCACUUGAUCAGGACUCCUCUGUUCCAGUUCUCCUCUUAACUCUGAUUGCUUCUUCUAAAUUUCCUUCUUAUCUCUACAGUACCAGAUGUCUAGCCUUUCAGUCUCUUCUUUUGCUGCAAUUAUGCAAUUCGGACUUAUGAACGUCCUAGAUCGGUGACUUUCAAUGAUUUUCAACCUGGGUCAAGCGGAGACUUGGAGAACUUUUCUGUGUCUAGCUAAAGGAUUGUAAAUGCACCAAUAAGCACUCUGUAAAAUGGACCAAUCAGUGCUCUGUAAGAUGGACCAAUCAUCAGUUGGCAACACAAGCAAAACUCGUCUCAAACAACAACAACAACAACAACAAAACUAGAACAUACCUAUUUUCCACAGUAAAAGACAAAUGGAGAAAAUUCAUCAUUUUUCUGCUCUUUGUAAAUGAAUGCAGAGUCUGGCCUGGUGCAGUGGCUCAUGCCUGUAUUCCCAGCACUUUGGCAGGCGGAGGCAGGCGGAUCACGAGGUCAGGAGAUUGAGACCAUCCUGGCUAACACGGUGAAACCUCGUCUCUACUAAAAACACAAAAAAAUAGCCGGGCGUGGUGGCAGGCGCCUGAGAGAACUGAGUUCAGGAGAGAAGGAUGUCCUGUUUCAUAUGGUGAGUGAAAAUAUAAACAGUAUGAGGUGGUAGUGUGUAGACAAAAUUAUCAGGAUUUUUUUUUUUUAAGAGUAGCACAUAGUUUCCUAAUUGAUUUUGGAGACUAGGGUUUUAAGAGAUGUACUGAAACUUGAAGUUUAAUGUUAAAAGAGGGAAACCAUACUCUUUUACACCUUGUCUGCUUGGUGCUUCUGUGAGUUGAGCAAGAAUUGGAAGUGGAAUG
rnacentral:lncRNA from 1 species